GAGGAUGUAGCUCAGUGGUAGAGCAAUUGCAUAGCAUGUACAAGGCUCUGAGUUCAAUUCCCAGCAUCGUGA
rfam:Neotoma lepida isolate 417 scaffold_4186, whole genome shotgun sequence.